UGCCGGUUAGCUCAGCUGGUUAGAGCGAAGGAACUGAAGAAUCUGAGGUCGCGGGUUCGACUCCCGCACUGGCAC